rnacentral:lncRNA from 1 species
CCCCCCGCAAGGAAACUCACCUUCCAAAGCUGCGGCCAACGAAGCCCAGCAGAGCAGCACCCGGAGCUCCAUGGCGCCGCCUCACUCGGGAUUAGACAAGUCAGGGGUAGAAACAGCCACGGGGCCUCACCAGCAUCCAGGUGGCUAAGCGCACAGCCUAACUUGUGGUGCACAGAGGACCCUACAGGAUCACGCAGGAAGCACAGCCGAUGCAGGUUUCAGGAGGCUGAGACAGGAGGAUUGCUUGACCC